rnacentral:rRNA from 1 species
GGAACUGCCAUUGAUACUGAAGGUCUUGAAUUUAGUUGAGGUGGGCGGAAUACGUUAUGUAGCGGUGAAAUGCAUAGAUAUAACGUAGAACACCGAUUGCGAAGGCAGCUCACUAAGCUAACAUUGACGCUGAUGGACGAAAGCGUGGGGAGCGAACAGGAUUAGAUACCCUGGUAGUCCACGCCGUAAACGAUGAUUACUCGUUGUGCACGAUACACUGUGCGUGACUGAGCGAAAGCAUUAAGUAAUCCACCUGGGGAGUACGUUCGCAAGAAUGAAACUCAAAGGAAUUGACGGGGGCCCGCACAAGCGGAGGAACAUGUGGUUUAAUUCGAUGAUACGCGAGGAACCUUACCUGGACUUAAAUGUAGAUUGACCGGUUUAGAAAUAGAUCUUCCCUUCGGGGCAAUUUACAAGGUGCUGCAUGGUUGUCGUCAGCUCGUGCCGUGAGGUGUCGGGUUAAGUCCCAUAACGAGCGCAACCCCUAUCGUUAGUUGCUAGCAGGUAAUGCUGAGGACUCUAGCGAGACUGCCACCGUAAGGUGAGAGGAAGGUGGGGAUGACGUCAAAUCAGCACGGCCCUUACGUCCAGGGCUACACACGUGUUACAAUGGCCAGUACAAAGGGCAGCUACCUGGUGACAGGAUGCUAAUCUCUAAAGCUGGUCUCAGUUCGGAUCGGAGUCUGCAACUCGACUCCGUGAAGUUGGAUUCGCUAGUAAUCGUAGAUCAGCAAUGCUACGGUGAAUACGUUCCCGGGCCUUGUACACACCGCCCGUCAAGCCAUGGAAGCCGAGGGGACCUGAAGUUCGUAACCGCAAGGAGCGACCUAGGGUAAAAUUGGUAACUAGGGCUAA